UACAGAGGUCCCAAGCGUUGUUCGGAUUUACUGGGCGUAAAGCGCACGUAGGCGGAUUGUUAAGUCAGGGGUGAAAUCCUGGAGCUCAACUCCAGAACUGCCUUUGAUACUGGCAAUCUCGAGUCCGGAAGAGGUGAGUGGAACUCCUAGUGUAGAGGUGGAAUUCGUAGAUAUUAGGAAGAACACCAGUGGCGAAGGCGGCUCACUGGUCCGGUACUGACGCUGAGGUGCGAAAGCGUGGGGAGCAAACAGG
rnacentral:rRNA from 1 species